AGUUAAGUGACUAAGCGUACACGGUGGAUGCCUAGGCAAUCAGAGGCGAAGAAGGACGUGCUAAUCUGCGAAAAGCUUGGAUGAGUCGAUAAGAGGCGUUUAAUCCAAGAUGUCCGAAUGGGGAAACCCAGUAGAUGAAGAAUCUACUAUCACUUGUUGAAUACAUAGGCAAGUGAAGCAAACCGGGAGAACUGAAACAUCUAAGUACCCCGAGGAAAAGAAAUCAACCGAGAUUUUGUAAGUAGCGGCGAGCGAAAGCGAAAGAGCCAGUGAGUGAUAGCAGCAAAGACAGAAGAAUUGGCUG
rnacentral:rRNA from 1 species